rnacentral:piRNA from 1 species
UAAAAGUGUUAGGAGGUUCCCC